rfam:Loxodonta africana unplaced genomic scaffold scaffold_53, whole genome shotgun sequence.
UGGUCUCUUGCUUUAACAGUGCUUGAACAGAACCU